rnacentral:rRNA from 1 species
AGUCCACAUCGACGGGGAGGUUUGGCACCUCGAUGUCGGCUCAUCACAUCCUGGGGCUGUAGUAGGUCCCAAGGGUUGGGCUGUUCGCACAUUAAGGUGGUACGCGAGCUGGGUUCAGAACGUCGUGAGACAGUUCGGUCCCUAUCCGUCGCAGGCGUAGGGAAAUUGAGUAGACCUGUCCUUAGUACGGGAGGACCGGGAUGGACGUACCUCUGGUGUACCAGUUGUCCUGCCAAGGGCAUGGCUGGGUAGCUAUGUACGGAAUAGAUAAGCGCUGAAAGCAUCUAAGCGCGAAGCCAACUUCAAGAUAAGAUUUCCCACCGCAAGGGUAAGACCCCAGAAAGACUAUCUGGUUGAUAGGUCGAAGGUGUAAGUGCAGCAAUGUAUUUAGCUUAUCGAUACUAAUAGGUCGAGGACUUGACCAAU